rnacentral:lncRNA from 1 species
UAAACAAACUGAAUGAACAGUCUUAAAGGGUUUUUAAGACAUUUCACCUAGACACGUGGGAGGUUCUUUAGCCCUCCACAUUUUAUCAAUCCCAUUUUCUUUUGCUACAUACAGGCACAACAGGGAGAUAGAGAGAGGAGUGAGAGAGACGAGGACGAGAGAACGGAGCGACCGUGAUGGAAGAACCAGCUCCAAACGCCGUCGAGGAAGCGGUAACUUUUGUUUCGAUGUCACCAAACGCCGCUAACUGAACCAGACGUCUGAGAUGACGGCGGCGAGUUCUAGAGUCCUGAUCUGUCAAUUGGUCGCCGGUUGUAACUUCUCCAUGGAAUUUGGCUGGUUAACGGGGAUAAUCCGGUGGAUCUGGCGACUGAGUUGGGUUCUGGUGUUUUUUAGUGCUCAAGGUUGUUAGAUUGGGUCAUCAGACUACAGGAUAGGGAAAUCUUCCGGCGGUGAACACAUGCUAUUUGAAAUGCAAGUCAAUGAUGGGUGCGACUAAAUCAAAGGUACCUUGGUGCAAGAGAGUAACAAAGCAUGUGAUUUACGAACAGCUUGCUGAAGGUCAAAUGGGAUGGGUUACAAUGUUACAUUGACUCAAUAAAAAAAAAAAAAAAACAAGCAAACGAGAAUCCCUUUUGGGAAUCCAGCACUUUUGACACCAUAUCGAAGGUUGUGUACAUUCUUUUUG